rnacentral:rRNA from 1 species
AUUGUUGGAACGCGCUCCGGCGCAUCCAGACAACCCUUUGUGAACUCAUACCCAUACUGUUGCCUCGGCGUCAGGCUGGCCCCCCUUGGGGGGUCCCUCACCACCCCGGUGGCGAGGAGCAGGCCCGCCGGCGGCCAAGCCAACCCUUGUUUUUACACUGAAGCUCUGAGGAUAAAACAUAAAAAUGAAUCAAAACUUUCAACAACGGAUCUCUUGGUUCUGGCAUCGAUGAAGAACGCAGCGAAAUGCGAUAAGUAAUGUGAAUUGCAGAAUUCAGUGAAUCAUCGAAUCUUUGAACGCACAUUGCGCCCUCUGGUAUUCCGGAGGGCAUGCCUGUUCGAGCGUCAUUUCAACCCUCAAGCCCGGCUUGGUGAUGGGGCACUGCCUUUGAGAAGAAGGCAGGCCCUGAAAUUCAGUGGCGAGCUCGCCAGGACCCCGAGCGCAGUAGUUAAACCCUCGCUCCGGAAGGUCUCGGUGUGGCCCUGCCGUUAAAACCCCAACUCCUGAAAAUUUGACCUCGGAUCAGGUAGGAAUAC